rnacentral:rRNA from 1 species
GCAGCCACUCAUUCAAAGAGUGCGUAAUAGCUCACUGGUCGAGUGAUCCUGCGCCGAAGAUUUCCGGGGCUAAAACUUACUACCGAAGCUACGGCAUCAGUAAUGAUGGGUAGGGGAGCUUCCCAUACGGGUUGAAGCAUGACCGUAAGGACAUGUGGACAGUAUGGGAGUGAGAAUGUUGGCAUGAGUAGCGAGAUGUGGGUGAGAAUCCCACAGGCCGUAAACCCAAGGUUUCCAGGGGAAGGUUCGUCCGCCCUGGGUUAGUCGGGACCUAAGCUGAGGCCGAAAGGCAUAGGUGAUGGACAACAGGUUGAUAUUCCUGUACUACCGAUAACCGUUUGAGAGAUGGGAUGACACAGUAGGAUAAGCUAAGCACACUGUUGGUUAUGUGUGCCCAAGCAUUGAGGCAGUCAAAGUAG